rnacentral:rRNA from 1 species
GUGAGGAAUAUUGGUCAAUGGGCGGGAGCCUGAACCAGCCAAGUCGCGUGAAGGAAGAAGGAUCUAUGGUUCGUAAACUUCUUUUGCAGGGGAAUAAAGUGCAGGACGUGUCCUGUUUUGUAUGUACCCUGAGAAUAAGGAACGGCUAACUCCGUGCCAGCAGCCGCGGUAAUACGGAGGAUCCGAGCGUUAUCCGGAUUUAUUGGGUUUAAAGGGUGCGUAGGUGGUUUGAUAAGUCAGCGGUGAAAGUUUGCAGCUUAACUGUAAAAAUGCCGUUGAAACUGUCGGACUUGAGUGUAAAUGAGGUAGGCGGAAUGCGUGGUGUAGCGGUGAAAUGCAUAGAUAUCACGCAGAACUCCGAUUGCGAAGGCAGCUUACUAAGCUACAACUGACACUGAAGCACGAAAGCGUGGGGAUCAAACAGGAUUAGAAACCCCUGUAGUCC